CGGCUCUCACCUGAUCUCCACCUCUCUUAUCUCCACUUGGGAUAGAGUUCAGCUGUUUUUAGUCAUCUGAAGGACCGUCAUUCACAGAAGGCUUCUCCUUCCAGGGCUGACACCUGCUGAUACUGCAGCAGGAAUGAUCCAGUGUUUUCCAGAGGCCCAUGAUGGGUGAUACCACAACAGAUUGUAUGCAGAAGCUUAUACAAGAAUCCGGCUGUCUCCUGCUGAAAGAGUCCAAAUGAAUAAACACAUGGAACGAGAACCACAAUGCGGAUGGUGGGGAAGCCGCUGGGAGGAUUUGAGCUGUCCACCAGAGGCAUCGCUGAAGCCCACCUGGAUCUCUGGAGAGGCCCCUUUUUGCCCACCAGAGACAUGGCAGACCCCUGUCCGAACAACAUAGAUA